rnacentral:rRNA from 1 species
UAGGGAAUCUUCCGCAAUGGGCGAAAGCCUGACGGAGCAACGCCGCGUGAGUGAUGAAGGUCUUCGGAUCGUAAAACUCUGUUAUUAGGGUAGAACAAAUGUGUAAGUAACUAUGCACGUCUUGACGGUACCUAAUCAGAAAGCCACGGCUAACUACUUGCCAGCAGCCGCGGUAAUACGUAGGUGGCAAGCGUUAUCCGGAAUUAAUGGGCGUAAAGCGCGCGUAGGCGGUUUUUUAAGUCUGAUGUGAAAGCCCACGGCUCAACCGUGGAGGGUCAUUGGAAACUGGAAAACUUGAGUGCAGAAGAGGAAAGUGGAAUUCCAUGUGUAGCGGUGAAAUGCGCAGAGAUAUGGAGGAACACCAGUGGCGAAGGCGACUUUCUGGUCUGUAACUGACGCUGAUGUGCGAAAGCGUGAGGAUCAAACAGG